CGUGGUUUUUCGAGUGAUUUGACCGGGCUUUUUUGAGUGUGACCACUUUUUUCGAGUGAAUAUGAUCAAAAAUGUAAACAAACAGACUUCUUUUCUAACAAGACGUGAUAUAGAAGCUUGAGUUUGAUAUACAAGGUUAUACCUGGUAUGUUAGUAUUUGAGAUAAAAAGAUAUGAUCAUUCUGACAUUUCUUUUCGUUAAAAAA
rnacentral:lncRNA from 1 species